CAGCCGCCGCGGUAAUACCGGCGGCCCGAGUGGUGGCCGCUAUUAUUGGGCCUAAAGCGCCCGUAGCCGGCCCGGCAAGUCCCUCCUUAAAGCCUCGGGCCCAACCCGAGGACGGGGGGGAUACUGCCGGGCUAGGGGGCGGGAGAGGCCGGCGGUACUCCCGGGGUAGGGGCGAAAUCCGUUAAUCCCGGGAGGACCACCAGUGGCGAAGGCGGCCGGCUGGAACGCGCCCGACGGUGAGGGGCGAAAGCCGGGGGAGCGAACCGGAUUAGAUACCCGGGUAGUCCCGGCUGUAAACGAUGCGGGCUAGCUGUGGGGCGGGCUUAGAGCCCGCCCAGUGGCGCAGGGAAGCCGUUAAGUCCGCCGCCUGGGGAGUACGGCCGCAAGGCUGAAACUUAAAGGAAUUGGCGGG
rnacentral:rRNA from 1 species